GAUGAAGAACGUAGCGAAAUGCGAUAAGUAAUGUGAAUUGCAGAAUUCAGUUAAUCAUCGAAUCUUUGAACGCACCUUGCGCCCUUUGGCUAUUCCGAAGGGCAUGCCUGUUUGAGUAUCGUGAACACCUCAACUCUCAUGGUUUGCCAUGAUGAGCUUGGACUUUGGGGGUUUUGCUGGCCUUUGGUCGGCUCCUCUCAAACGGAUCAGCUUUCCAGUGUUUGGUGGCGUCACGGGUGUGAUAACUAUCUACGCCUGUGGUUUUCUGCCAGAUAACCUUCAGCGAUGGAGGUUCGCUGGGGCUCAUAAAUGUCUCUCUUCAGUGGAGACAGCUUUUUGGACGUUUGAUCUCAAAUCAGGUAGGACUACCCGCUGAACUUAAGCAUAUCAAUAAGCGGAGGA
rnacentral:misc_RNA from 1 species